UACGUAGGCAGCAAGCGUUGUUCGGAGUUACUGGGCGUAAAGGGUGUGUAGGCGGUUCUUUAAGUUUGGUGUGAAAUCUCCCGGCUCAACCGGGAGGGUGCGCCGAAUACUGAGGGACUAGAGUGUGGGGAGAGGAAAGUGGAAUUCCUGGUGUAGCGGUGAAAUGCGUAGAUAUCAGGAGGAACACCGGUGGUGUAGACGGCUUUCUGGACCAUAACUGACGCUGAGACACGAAAGCGUGGGUAGCAAACAGG
rnacentral:rRNA from 1 species